rnacentral:rRNA from 1 species
UACGGAGGGGGCUAGCGUUGUUCGGAAUUACUGGGUGUAAAGGGCGUGUAGGCGGUCUCUCAAGUCCGAUGCUAAAGACCGAAGCUCAACUUCGGGGGUGCGUUGGAUACUGUGAGGCUAGACGGUCGGAGAGGGUAGCGGAAUUUCCGGAGUAGCGGUGAAAUGCGCAGAUACCGGAAGGAACGCCAAUAGCGAAAGCAGCUACCUGGACGAUUUGUGACGCUGAGGCGCGAAAGCGUGGGGAGCAAGCCGG